rnacentral:tRNA from 1 species
GGAGGCGUGCCUGAAGCCAAGGGCCACUUUGAUAGAGUGGAGCACGGGGGUUAAAGUCCCCCCGCCUUCU